rnacentral:sRNA from 1 species
GAAACAUUUCCAUGGCUACCAUCUACACUUGCUGAUGUACUGGGAAUAGUGGAUGUUGAAACUGCUUGCUCUGAUGAAUUGACAAGAGAGAAAUUUAUCACACUAGUUGGGGCAUUACGAAACACUAUUAUAGCUGAUGGCCUUUUAAAAGAAAGAUUAGACCAAGACUCCUUAGAGUUGGUUGGUUUAGUCAGUUCUCAAGUUGGAUUUAAUCAGAAAUAUGUGAAGACCAAAACUCGACUUUAGUAAGUUGUUGAUUGGAAUUAGGAAUACAGUGGAACCUGCUUAAAGGCAUACCUGGUGUGCAACCCUGACCCCCCCUCCCAAAUCCAAAUCCCUAGC